GUGACCCCAGGAUGGACGAGGCCACCCGCCGAGUUUAAG
rnacentral:rRNA from 1 species